CUUGAUUUUCGGGGCAAGGUGAGCCGUACUACGGCAAUUCCUUACUGGCGGUAAAGCCCGCGACUUCCUCGUUUGAGGAACUGAACCGGUUAGAUUCCGGUGCCAACGGUUAUAGUCCGGAUGGGAGAAAAUCUGA
rnacentral:ncRNA from 2 species